GACGAACGCUGGCGGCGUGCUUAACACAUGCAAGUCGAACGCGCCUGCUUUGGUGGGUGAGUGGCGAACGGGUGAGUAACACGUGGGUGACCUGCCCCCUACUCUGGGAUAAGCCUGGGAAACUGGGUCUAAUUCCGGAUAUGACUCAUGGCUGCAUGGUUGUGGGUGGAAAGUUUUUGCGGUGGGGGAUGGGCCUGCGGCCUAUCAGCUUGUUGGUGGGGUGAUGGCUUACCAAGGCGACGACGGGUAGCCGGCCUGAGAGGGCGACCGGCCACACUGGGACUGAGACACGGCCCAGACUCCUACGGGAGGCAGCAGUGGGGAAUAUUGCGCAAUGGGCGGAAGCCUGACGCAGCGACGCCGCGUGGGGGAUGACGGCCUUCGGGUUGUAAACCUCUUUCGCCAUCGACGAAGCCUUUGGGUGACGGUAGGUGGAGAAGAAGCACCGGCCAACUACGUGCCAGCCGCCGCAGUAAGAC
rnacentral:rRNA from 1 species